rnacentral:lncRNA from 1 species
ACGGUGGACUUGGGCUCACCGGAGUCUGCGGUGGUGAUGGUGAUGGUAACGGUGGUGGCUGAUACGGGGGAACGUAUGGUGGAGGAUGUGGAUAGUAAGGUGGGGGGUGAGGAUAGUAAGGUGAAGGUGGGGGGUGAGGAUAGUAAGGUGGAGGGUGAGGAUAGUAAGGUGGAGGAUGACCACCAUGAUGACCACCGUGAUGACCGCCGUGAUGACUACCGUGAUGACCACAAUGUCCUCUGUGGACAGGAGGGCAUGGGGGACAUUUCUUGCAGGGCAUGGGGGACAUUUCUUGCAUCCACAAGUUGGGGAGAAAAGUGAGAGCAAAGAAAUAUGCAAGAGUAAAACGGAGAACAGUAGUCCUCUUCUUCCUCCUCCCAUGGUGAUGGUGGCGUUCUUCAUCGAUCGAUCUCGAUCUAAAUGCAAUACCGAUCGAUCAGCUAUCACUGAGGAAUUUGAUUAUUUAUAGAUCGAUCGAUAAUGAGUUAAAAUCUGAUCUAUCAACAGGUGUGGGUUUAGAUGGGAGCAGAUCAUACCAAGUGUUGGUACUUGUUUGUCUUCCAUUGAGGUGGCUCUGUUGGUCACCCGUGACUACCUGCGGACCUGCUGCGGUGGUGGCGAGUGGUGACAGAGCAGUUGGCGCUGUGAAAUUGCUUGUUCUUUGCACCAUGAAGCCUGUGAAUAUAUAUGAGAGAAUCAAAGAAGAGGAAAUACGUACACUGCUUUGAACGGUGUCAACGGGCCCGGUGCUGUUGUGGAAGGUGGCAUUAAAUUAAACCACAGCUCCGCCCAUGGCAAUGCAUCCAGCCAUGAUCUGGGACGGUCAUGCACCACUCCUCUCAAGCGAGCUUUUGCUUAUAGAGUCGGACUCGGCUCGUUAAGGAGUUAUCCAGGUUUGGGCUCGAGCCUGGUUUGGACGAGCUCGGACUCUGCUCGUUUUAAGAAUUGUCAGACUUAGGCUCGAGUCUGAGCUCGAACUUAACCU